rnacentral:rRNA from 1 species
UACGUAGGGGGCAAGCGUUGUUCGGAAUCACUGGGCGUAAAGCGCGUGUAGGCGGCCCUUUAAGUCCGAUGUGAAAGCCCGGGGCUCACCCCCGGAAGUGCAUUGGAUACUGAAGGGCUGGAGUACCGGAGAGGAGGGUGGAAUUCCUGGUGUAGCGGUGAAAUGCGUAGAUAUCAGGAGGAACACCUGUGGCGAAGGCGGCCCUCUGGACGGAUACUGACGCUGAGACGCGAAAGCGUGGGGAGCAAACAGG